rnacentral:rRNA from 1 species
AGUGAACGCUGGCGGUAGGCCUAACACAUGCAAGUCGAACGACAGCACAGAGGAGCUUGCUCCUUGGGUGGCGAGUGGCGGACGGGUGAGGAAUACAUCGGAAUCUACUCUGUCGUGGGGGAUAACGUAGGGAAGCUUACGCUAAUACCGCAUACGACCUACGGGUGAAAGCAGGGGACCUUCGGGCCUUGCGCGAUUGAAUGAGCCGAUGUCGGAUUAGCUAGUUGGCGGGGUAAAGGCCCACCAAGGCGACGAUCCGUAGCUGGCCUGAGAGGAUGAUCAGCCACACUGGAACUGAGACACGGUCCAGACUCCUACGGGAGGCAGCAGUGGGGAAUAUUGGACAAUGGGCGCAAGCCUGAUCCAGCCAUACCGCGUGGGUGAAGAAGGCCUUCGGGUUGUAAAGCCCUUUUGUUGGGAAAGAAAUCCAGCUGGCUAAUACCCGGUUGGGAUGACGGUACCCAAAGAAUAAGCACCGGCUAACUUCGUGCCAGCAGCCGCGGUAA